rnacentral:rRNA from 1 species
AGUGAACGCUGGCGGUAGGCCUAACACAUGCAAGUCGAACGGCAGCACAGUAAGAGCUUGCUCUUACGGGUGGCGAGUGGCGGACGGGUGAGGAAUACAUCGGAAUCUACUUUUUCGUGGGGGAUAACGUAGGGAAACUUACGCUAAUACCGCAUACGACCUACGGGUGAAAGCAGGGGAUCUUCGGACCUCGCGCGAUUGAAUGAGCCGAUGUCGGAUUAGCUAGUUGGCGGGGUAAAGGCCCACCAAGGCGACGAUCCGUAGCUGGUCUGAGAGGAUGAUCAGCCACACUGGAACUGAGACACGGUCCAGACUCCUACGGGAGGCAGCAGUGGGGAAUAUUGGACAAUGGGCGCAAGCCUGAUCCAGCCAUACCGCGUGGGUGAAGAAGGCCUUCGGGUUGUAAAGCCCUUUUGUUGGGAAAGAAAAGCAGCAGGUUAAUACCCCGCUGUUCUGACGGUACCAAAAGAAUAAGCACCGGCUAACUUCGUG